AAUCCUGGCUCAGGAUGAACGCUAGCUACAGGCUUAACACAUGCAAGUCGAGGGGAAACGACAUCGAAAGCUUGCUUUUGAUGGGCGUCGACCGGCGCACGGGUGAGUAACGCGUAUCCAACCUGCCCAUCACUUGGGAAUAACCUUGCGAAAGUAAGACUAAUGCCCAAUGAUAUCCCACGAAGGCACCCGAAUGGGAUUAAAGAUUUAUCGGUGAUGGAUGGGGAUGCGUCUGAUUAGCUUG
rnacentral:rRNA from 1 species